CCUACGGGUGGCAGCAGUGGGGAAUAUUGCGCAAUGGGGGAAACCCUGACGCAGCAACGCCGCGUGAGUGAAGACGUAUCUCGGUAUGUAAAGCUCUAUCAGCGGGGAAGAAGGAAGACGGUACCCGACUAAGAAGCCCCGGCUAACUACGUGCCAGCAGCCGCGGUACUACGUAGGGGGCAAGCGUUAUCCGGAUUUAUCGGGUUUAAAGGGUGCGUAGGCGGAAUGCCAAGUCAGCGGUAAAAUCGCGGGGCUCAACCUCGCUCCGCCGUUGAAACUGGCGUUCUUGAGUGGGAGAGAAGUAUGCGGAAUGCGUGGUGUAGCGGUGAAAUGCAUAGAUAUCACGCAGAACUCCGAUUGCGAAGGCAGCAUACCGGCGCCCAACUGACGCUGAAGCACGAAAGCGUGGGUAUCGAACAGGAUUAGAUACCCCAGUAGUC
rnacentral:rRNA from 1 species